CAUAAACGACUCUCGGCAACGGAUAUCUUGGCUCACGCAUCGAUGAAGAACGUAGCAAAAUGCGAUACUUGGUGUGAAUUGCAGAAUCCCGUGAACCAUCGAGUUUUUGAACGCAAGUUGCGCCCGAAGCCUUUUGGCCGAGGGCACGUCUGCCUGGGCGUCACAC
rnacentral:rRNA from 2 species